GUAAUCCUUUCCUGGGGAUACUGUCUUUCUACCAAUUGUAAUCAUAUCAGACACUAUGGAGGAAACAAGGAUUUUCAACAUGUGAAAUUAGAAACAAGUAUCCAUAAGAAAUAAGAAGAACUCUGAUGUUUUAUUUAAUUCAGGAUUCUAUGUCACACUGAUGAACCAGAUGCAUUUGAGAUGCACGCACAUAGGACAUGAAGGUGAUGGCCCGCUUUUCCUGUUUUUCCACAUCCACUAAUUAUUUUUAGAAAUUGAAAAUGUAUUUCUGGGAAAAUGGCAAGACAUCUUCUGAUCGAGCCAUCAGAGGAUAAAGGUGGCAUGGGGCUGGGUGACAGUCAACGUUCUCCAAGUCACUCUUAUGCAAAGAACAUAACUGUUCAAUAAUGCUUUCCAGUAUUUCUCAACUUCAGUAUGGAGAGCUCACAAAGUGAGAAGACGAGAGAAGACAGAAUGCUACACAGAAACCUUUGUAAGCACCCCUUUGAGUUCUAAGCAAGGAAAGAUGAAUGUGAACCAUCCCACAAGGUACCAUCAGCAACAGUUCCAAACACCAGAGAUUGCUGAAAGACCUAACAAAAUCAGCAUGGAUGCUUGCAUCUGUUGCCACAGGAAGACAAUCGUCAAUCAUUUGGUUUCCCAGACUAAACUAAAUGAGCUAUUGAGACAGGACUGAGAUAAUGACGGGAAUUUUUUUCUCAGUGCCUUCUCGAUAAUCCUGACCAGAAAUGACUGCAAGAAAAUUAAAACCUUGAGACAUUUCACUUUUAUAAUUCUAUUUAAUUUCUAAAUUAGCAAAUUGACCUGGUUUUAUCCAGAGCUGAUGUUCCCAAAUGAAGCUUGGGAGCUAUGAAUGCCAAAAAAAAAAAAAAAAAAACCCUGAAAUGAUUUAUAUUAGUGUUCCUAUUAAGUAGACAGUAAUGGUUUUUCAAGUCUGAAUACAGUAAAUGUUACUUAUCUCUCCAGUUACCCACCUCCCUCUAUUUCCCCAUUAUUUCCUGCAAAUAUUUUUUCCAGUUCUUUUUUUUCUUCAGCAAAGUGGCUUAUUGCAGGGAAAAUAGUCUUCACCUUCCUACCCCAGUGUUAUGGGAUCUUUCUGCAAGAGACACCUGGCUGACAAAGAGCCCUUGUAUCUGUUGGUUAAAGAAAAUAUAUGUACUGUAUAUUUAUCUUUUUUUAUUUGAAUCUUUCUUCUAGUCAAUGCUCCAUGAAUGAGAGAUAGAAUAUUUUAAUGAAAUUAUUGGGAAGGCAGAAAACUAUACUGUUCUGUGGUUUUUUUUAAAAAAAUAGUUCUGUGACCACACUUUCUAGACAUUUAUUUCAUAAGUCAUUCCCAUUCUAUUUGAUAGGAAAGAAAUGGGAUUUGAUUUUCCCUCUAUACCCCCCCCCCCAAAAAAAAACACCUGAUGAAUUUUUUAUGGGUGGAUUAUGAGCAUGCUUACUGAGUUACCGGUAGUAUGAUAGAGAAAUACAGGUGAAUGCUGUUCUUUCAUUGUAUGAUCUUAAUCUACUACCAAUAGGUAGCUAUGACAUCUAUCAAAUCAUUAAAGAAGACAUAAUAGCGGAUUUGCUCCCAGUAUGCUUUUUUAAUUAAGAAAUUUAGGCAGCCAGAGUGACUACAAACUGAAGAAGUGUAACAAAAUAAACAAAUCACAACAACAUUUUGCCAUCUUGCAGCAUUAUAUUACACUCAAGUUCACUAUCAAAGAAAUGUAAAAGACCUCCUAAAGUAUUCUGAAAAUAAGGUAGAAAAAGAGAAGAUUCUUUCUGGAAUUUUAAAAACAGUUUUGGAUUAAUUUUACGUUACAAUCCAAUUUGUUUUAUUCAUGUAUUAUUUAAUCAUGAAGUUUUUAUACUAUCACAGUCAAAAGAUUCUCGGUUUUGCACAGGCUAAUGAUGGCUGGAUUUAUUAAACCCAUAUUAACCAAUGAGGUCACUGCUGAAUUAAAGCUGAACUGCCAGAUCAUGACCACUGCUGUGUUAUUGUGUUCCUCUCCAAUUCUGGAGACAUCAAGAAUUUUUGCUGGCCUAAAACAUGUUAUUCUCCUAUCAGCUCUCUAUUCCACACCCAGAAUCAGUUAAUAUUGUGCAGCUCUCCAUACAAUGUCUUUAUAUGCAUAAAGAAAUUUAAACAGAAAUAUAUUCAAUUGUAUUAUUGUUAAACUUACAAAAUAUAUUAUAGUGUUUCAAUACAGAGGUACUUGUACAGUAUUGAUUAAGAAUAUUAAUAUAGUAGUGUUUAGACAACUAUUGAAGAUAAAAAGGAAAAAACAUAUCAAUAUUAAUUAUGAUUUAAAAUGUCAGUGUUAAUGAAAUAAUAUUUGGCUUUUUCAUCCAGAAUUGAGCGUUGCAUUAAAAAAACUACUGCAGGUUACAUCAAAGUAUUUGAGGUACAGUAACGGUUUUGGUUUUAAGCUAAUUAUCUAGUAUGAAGAUCUGUAUUGUAUUGCUAUUUAAUAUUGUUUGUGCCUGUUGAAAAAAAAAGAACAAAGCAAAUUUGUCAACAAUUAAAAUACAAAGGAAUAAAGUGAAAUAAAAAGGAAAAGGAGAAAAAUAAGGUUAUUCCAUUUCUAUCUUUCCCUUUUUUUAUGCCUCUGCUAAUUUAUAAUACUCAUAAACAUUUGGGUCUCCUUAGAACCCAGACUGCAAGUGAUUAUAUUUGCCAUGCUGUGUGAUAUAUGGUAUGUAUGGGAACCAUUCUUGCUUAAUUUUGGUUAAACAUCUUUUGUAAAUAUAUAUUGUUAAUUUUGCCAGUGUUGCAUAUUCUCAAAGUUUAAGUUCCCAAUCAGAUAUUUUUGGGAAUUGCAUUUUCCUUCCAAUGUUGGACAAAGUUUGUUUUCACUGGUGUG